rnacentral:rRNA from 1 species
UCAGCAGCCGCGGUAAUACGUAGAGAGCAAGCGUUGUCCGGAAUCAUUGGGCGUAAAGGGUACGCAGGCGGAUAUACAAGUCAAAUGUGAAAGUUGAUGGCUCAACCAUCAGAUUGCGUUUGAAACUGUAUAUCUUGAGAGCAGCAGAGGGGAUCGGAAUUCCUGGUGGAGCGGUGAAAUGCGUAGAUAUCAGGAAGAACACCAGUGGCGAAGGCGGAUCUCCGGGCUGUAUCUGACGCUGAGGUACGAAAGCCAGGGCAGCGAACGGGAUUAGAUACCCCGGUAGUCCUGGCAGUAAACGCUGGACACCAGGUGUUGGUGGUUCGAAUCCAUCAGUGCCGCAAGUUAACGCAUUAAGUGUCCGCCUGGGGAUUACGGUCG